rnacentral:rRNA from 1 species
ACAAGCGGUGGAGCAUGUGGUUUAAUCGACGCAACGCGAAGAACCUUACCAGGGCUUGACAUCCCCUGACCGCGUAUGAAAGUACGUUUUCACCCUCGGGUGACAGGGAGACAGGUGGUGCAUGGUUGUCGUCAGCUCGUGUCGUGAGAUGUUGGGUUAAGUCCCGCAACGAGCGCAACCCCUACGUUUAGUUGCUAACAGGUGAAGCUGAGCACUCUAGACGAACUGCCGUUGACAAAACGGAGGAAGGUGGGAUGACGUCAAAUCAUCAUGCCCCUUAUGUUCUGGGCUACACACGUGCUACAAUGGCCGGUACAGACGGAGGCGAAGCCGCGAGGCGGAGCAAAUCCGAAAAGGCCGGUCUCAGUUCGGAUUGCAGGCUGCAAUUCGCCUGCAUGAAGUCGGAAUCGCUAGUAAUCGCAGGUCAGCAUACUGCGGUGAAUACGUUCCCGGGCCUU